UUUCCUCUUAGGAUUGGUCUAUUAAUAAUUACCGUCUUCAGUGAUUGGUGGAACGAAGGACUUUACCACCAUAGGAAGUUGACCCAAUGAUAGUAUGCUGUUACGCAACAGUCCAGCAUAUUGUCCAGAGCUGUGGAGUUGAGGGAAUCAGUUGUCUCUCAGCUGACAGAUGAGGGACCUCGGUGCUGUUAGCAAGCUGCACUUCUUUCAGGAGGUAUUGGAAUAUCUGAAGAAGAGGAGGGGAGGAGGGGGAGUCAGCUGAGGAGAAAGUUCACCGUUUUGGCAGACACGGCACUGAAGGUAAACGCACCAUGGCGGGCAAAGGGAGAGUUUGUUCCGCCGGACAGAGCCAGCUCCAGGACUCCUCAGACUCUGACUCGGAGGCUCGGGUGGCAAGUACCGGACCGUUCGCCGGCUCCUUCACCUGCACCCAGGUCAUCCACAGCGGACACUUCAUGGUGUCGUCCCCCCACAGCGACUCCGCGCCGCGCGGGAGGAACAGCGGUGGAACAAUGAGAUAUGACUUCGACACGGUGAACAGGACGUGGUGCCAGACGUACCGGUACGGCCCGCAAAGCUCCGGGAGCCUGAGCAUCGACCCCACUCUGACCCGCCUGUUUGACUGCAUGUCCCUGGCCUACAGUGGUAAGAUAGUCUCUCCCAAGUGGAAGUCUUUUAAGGGUCUGCGGUUGCUGUGGAGGGAUAAGAUCCGUCUGAACAAUGCGAUCUGGAGAGCUUGGUUCAUCCAGUAUGUGGAGAAGAGGAAGAACCCAGUGUGUGGCUUUGUCACACCGCUGGAGGGCUCGGAGGCAGAUGCACAUCGAAAGCCUGAAGCAAUUGUCUUAGAGGGCAGCUACUGGAAGCGAAGGAUCGAGGUGGUGAUCAAGGAGUAUCACAAGUGGAGGAUUUACUACAAGAAGAGGCUUCAGAAAAAGAAGGAUGAUAUUCUAUCAAUGCUACAAGAGGGUCAGAUCUGCCAGGCCAAGCUGGAGAAAUGGUCCAAUCAGAUGUACCAGGAGCCCGAGGCUGCGCCGGUGGAGGUCCACAUGUUUGACCUGGACUGUCUUCUGUCCGACAUCUCCGACACCCUGUUCACCAUGACGCAAAAGCCUUGUCCCUGGGCUGGUGAUCGACACGACACGUACACAAGCAAUGCAGAUAUAAUCCAACCAGGCCUGACUCCACUGCAGCCCAACCUGGAGGAUUUCAUGGAUAUACCAGAUAUCUUUAUGAACUACCGGGGCCAGCCCACUGAGCAGAUUGGUUUUGCUGACUGUGGCUAUUUUGAGAGUUCAUCCAGCACAGCAUUUGCUCCACUUCCCUCCCCUGUGGUAACAACUCCUCAGCUACUUCUCGACACCCAGCUGGCUCAGCCCAAUCUGUCAUCUGACAAUUUGCCUCAGCCUUCCUCAUCCAAUACCCGGCCAGACCAGACUGGGCCGGGCCAGGGUUGCGGUGAAUACCACACAUCUAGCAUCAUAUCAGGGGCCAUGCCAUAUGGACACCAGUCAUACCCUGCUCCACCUGUUUCUAUAGCAUUCACCACCGGCAUCGAGCAGCCGGCCUCUUCAAGUAUCCCUUUCCUGUACCCGCCGCCCUGCCAUAAGUUUGGCUACUACACGACGACCAGCGUGACCCCCACUGUCAUCACUCACACCGCCUCCACCAUGGGGGCCCAGGGCUCUGUGUAUCAGGCUCAUGGUUACCCUCACACAGGGGACACGUACCCCCAGACUCCCUGCCACUCUCUCAGUUACCCGGCCGCUGUGUCUGACCCGGCCCACGCAGCGCUGCCCUCGGUCACCGCGGCCCACUGCUUCUCAGUCCCCGAGCAGGUGGCUGUUACAGGGCUCAGAGGGAAGCACAAGCAGAAGACAGGAGGAGCGAGGACAGUCUGUUCCUCUGUGGCUCUGUCUGGCCCCCCGUCCACGCCACCCACACCCACUAGCUGCCUGGCUAAGCUGCUCUCCUCCAGCGCCCGCGAACGGAAGCCAUCUCUAGGAUUUGAUACUACUCUAAUGCCAGCCAAAGGUCGGAGGUCAUCCUCUCCCAGCUCCUCGCAGUCGAGCAGCAGCACGCGUGUUGGAGGAGCUUCAUCGCAGCUGCAGCAUGGCGCUGCUUGGCCUGCAGGGAUCCCAGUGUUGACUCCUCGGCACAGCCAGAGUGCCCCCCUGGGUCACAGCGGCCCCCACGUCAGCACCUCCAGAGGCUCGGCGGUGUCGGCCCUGCUCAGCCACGGCUCCACACACACCGGCACAGCCCUCCUCAUUCCCAAGACAGAGAAACUGUCUCCGGUCCAGCUGUACGGCACCGACAGGAGCAGCCUAACAGUGAAUUUUCCAGGACAUCCAGGCCAAACGUCACCACCAAACCCUUUAGAUAAAACCUCCAACCCAGAGUCCCCACACUCAUGCUUCUCAGUACAGGGAAAGAUAGAAUCAAGUAAGCAAACGGAGACCAGGAGGAUAACGCACAUCUCAGCUGAGCAGAAGAGGCGCUUCAACAUCAAACUGGGUUUUGACACGUUACAUAACCUCGUGACAACACUCAGCUCUCAGCCAAGCAUAAAGAUCAGCAAAGCCACCACGCUGCAGAAGACUGCCGAGUACAUCGGUAAGAUGCAGCAGGAGAGAGCUCAGCUGCACGACGAGGCUCAGAGACUCCGAGAGGAGAUCCAGCUCCUCAACUCAGCCAUCAAUGCGUGCCAGCAGCAGCUUCCAGCCACUGGUGUGCCCAUCACACGGCAGCGCUUUGACCACAUGAGGCAGAAGUUCCGAGAGUACGUCCAGGCACAGACGCUGCGAAACUGGAAGUUCUGGAUCUAUCAUCAUCGAGCCACUGUUUGAGUCCUAUAAUGGAAUGGUGUCCACUGCCAGUGUGGAGGACCUGUGUCGGUCCACUCUGUCCUGGCUGGACCAACACUGUUCCCUGCCUGCCCUGAGACCCAUGGUUCUGAGUUCACUCCGUCUCCUGAGUACCACCACAGCCAUCCUGACAGACCCCAGCCUACUGCCGGAGCAGGCCACCCUCGCUGUCACCCAGGGCCACCCCGCUGCUGCCCUGGACCACUCCUUACAGCCCGCCAUUCGGGACAAUAUGCACCCCAUGUGACUGCGAAGAACAGACUCAUUGGAAAGUGAACUGGAAUCCACCAUAAUGCACAGGAGACCACAAGUCAGAGGAGAGCCUGUGCAAUGAUUCAAAACAGACUCAACAUUCAGCUCCGAGACUUUCAAUAAUGCAUAAUCACAUUCCUAUUAAACUCACCAGUUGCAAAAAAGAAUGUAUUCCAGUACACCUAAAACAUCAUAGGAACUAUUUGUGAUCUAUGCUUAAAUUCUGAUAAAAGCAUAACGUAGUUGGACUAAACACUUGUAUUAUUUAUAAGCCUCAAAAUCUUUGGUGAAGCAGUAGUUAUAUUAUAAUAUUCUCAAUUC